UCUUUUCAUUCUCAAGAUGGCAGCCUCCAAGUCAAAAGUCCUUUGCAUCAGGUUGUCCAUGAGGGCAUGUAUCUCCUGCUGAAAUAUCUACAGCUUCUCCCUCAAAGACACCUCCUCUUCAAAGGCUGCCUCUUCCCUGUUCUCGACUCUUAGAUCUCUGUAGGUCAUUUUUCAAUUAUCUGAGAUUGAUUAAGAUAAUUGAAUUUGAUUUAAAU
rnacentral:lncRNA from 1 species